rnacentral:rRNA from 1 species
UCUGGUGCCAGCGGCCGCGGUAAUUCCAGCUCCAAUAGCGUAUAUUAAAGUUGUUGUGGUUAAAAAGCUCGUAGUUGGAUCUCAGUUCGAGUCAGGCGGUCCACUUGCCAGUGGCUACUGCCUGACUGAACACUUUACCGAGUUGUCCUAUGGUGUUCUUCACCGAGCGUCAUAGGCGAUCGGUACGUUUACUUUGAAAAAAAUUAGAGUGCUCAAAGCAGGCGUAACGCCCGAAUAAUGUUGCAUGGAAUAAUGGAAUAGGACCUCGGUUCUAUUUUGUUGGUCUUCGGAAUUAGAGGUAAUGAUCAAUAGGGACAGACGGGGACAUUCGUAUUGCGGCGCUAGAGGUGAAAUUCUUGGACCGUCGCAAGACGAACUAAAGCGAAAGCAUUUGUCAAGAAUGUUUUCAUUAAUCAAGAACGAAAGUUAGAGGUUCGAAGGCGAUCAGAUACCGCCCUAGUUCUAACCAUAAACGAUGCCAACCAGUAAUUCGUCUGAGUUCCUUAAAUGACUCGACGAGGGACUUCCGGGAAACCAAAGUCUUUCGGUUCCAGGGGAAGUAUGGUUGCAAAGCUGAAACUUAAAGAAAUUGACGGAAGGGCACCACCAGGAGUGGAGCCUGCGGCUUAAUUUGACCCAACACGGGAAAACUCACCCGGCCCGGACCCUGGAAGGAUUGACAGAUUGAGAGCUCUUUCUUGAUUCAGUGGGUGGUGGUGCAUGGCCGUUCUUAGUUGGUGGAGUGAUUUGUCUGGUUAAUUCCGAUAACGAACGAGACUCUAGCCUACUAAAUAGAUCGUCGGCUUACAAACGCCGGCGAGACUUCUUAGAGGGACAGGCGGUGAUUCAACCGCACGAAACAGAGCAAUAACAGGUCCGUGAUGCCCUUAGAUGUCCGGGGCCGCACGCGCGCUACACUGAAGUGAUCAGCGUGCUUUUUCAACCUACUCUGUCAAGAGUGGGGAACCCAAUGAACCUUCUUCGUGAUUGGGAUAGGGGAUUGUAAUUAUUCCCCUUGAACGAGGAAUUCCCAGUAAGCGCGAGUCAUAAGCUCGCGUUGAUUACGUCCCCGCCCUUUGUACACACCGCCCGUCGCUACUACCGAUUGAAUGUUUUAGUGAGGUCUUCGGACUGGCCGGCGCAGCACUCUCGUAGUGCAGCGCUGUGUUUGGAAAGAUGCCCAAACUUGAACAUUUAGAGGAAGUAAAAGU